AACCUAAAUUGUAAAUAAAAUAAACACGUAACAAUUCAUUCUGUGCUAUUUUUCAAUGUGAGUCUGUGAGUGACCGGUGACUGGCUGCUGCAGCCAAUGAUGCGAUUCACAUACGUAUUUACCAUAGACUGUAUAUAAUGGUAUUUACGCAGCUAAUCAACGUCCUGCGUCCUUAUGUGUAGCUACCGUUGUUGUCAUAGAUAUGAAUGAGUAGAUAGGACACGCCCCCUUUGAACUGCGUGCUACAGCGAGGCUAAGCUAGUGGGGGAAAAGUUUCAGUGCAUUCAGUUGAUGUAGACGGCGUGAAAACGGAAACAAGUAUGCCGUCUCACUGUGCUGCAUACAAUUACACACUACGUCGUACGAUUGAGACAAGGAAACUUGGAAUUACUUUUCAUAGGUUUCCCAGAGACUAUGGGUUGAGGAGGAAUUGGAAGUUUGUCGGCUUAGACCUGGUGUCAUUCCUUCAGUGUUAAACUUCCCGGCUCAUCUUGGAAGAGUACGUGCCAGAAAGACCACGACCAAGCAGCCUUGAGAUCUUAGGCAGCGUCUCCCUGAGGUCCCUCUCUAUCUCCCCACACAUCCACCAACCACUGGAACACAUCUCCAAAGUUCUGCUGGGCCAGCUCAGCUUCCCCUCAGAAGAAGUGCCGCCACCUGCCAGAUGAAGGAGCCUUUUGAGAGGCAGUUGGCAUCGUGAUUGGACUGUACUUUGGUCUGUUCCAAUCCAGCUUCAGCUCCAGAGACGGCAGGCGGAACGAGUCAACGGAGGCCGGGUGGACAAAGACAUGCAGCUGAGUACAAUCCAGAAAACAACAGAGGAGUGCAGCGGCCCAGGACCAGAACAAGCAGAGUAUGUCUCUUAGAAAACAUCAUAGUAUAGCCUUUGGUAUGAAAAAACGCCAUCAUAUACAUCGUAUAUUGUACAAAUAACACGUCAAAGGAAAGAGACAUACAUUGUAGAAUUGUAGUAAUUGUGGGCUGACUGAUUUACUGAUUAUCAGUAUUUUAUUUUUUACUGAUUUACGGUAAUAAAUACAUUUAAAAAUG